rnacentral:rRNA from 1 species
CAAUAAUGCCAUACCACCCUGAACACGCCCGAUCUCGUCCGAUCUCGGAAGCUAAGCAGGGUCGGGCCUGGUUAGUACUUGGAUGGGAGACCGCCUGGGAAUACCAGGUGCUGU